rnacentral:rRNA from 1 species
CUGGUUUAUUCGAAGAAUGAAGAGGAGCAUAAGGAGCAUUUGCGUUUGGUACUUGGAAAGCUCAGAGAACAUCAAUUAUAUGCCAAGUUCAGCAAAUGUGAGUUUUGGUUGAAGGAAGUAGGAUUCCUCGGACACGUUAUAUCUGGAGAAGGAAUAGCAGUAGAUCCCGCUAAAGUUGAUACCGUGACCAAGUGGGAAGCCCCGACAACAGUUGGAGAGAUCUGGAGUUUUCUUGGACUCGCAGGAUACUACCGGAGAUUUAUUGAGAAUUUCUCAAAGAUUGCGAAGCCUAUGACUGAGUUGCUGAAGAAGGAUACCAAGUUCAAAUGGACGGAGGAAUGUGAGGCUAGUUUCCAGGAGUUGAAGAAACGUUUGGUUACCUCACCAGUGUUGAUUUUGCCAGACCAGACCAAAGAUUAUGAGGUGUAUUGCGAUGCUUCACGUCGAGGACUUGGAGCAGUGCUUAUGCAGGAAGGGAGAGUUGUUUCA